rnacentral:rRNA from 1 species
CAGUAGCCGCGGUAAUACGAAGGUCCCGAGCGUUGUUCGGAAUCACUGGGCGUAAAGGGAGCGUAGGCGGCGUGGUAAGUCAGAUGUGAAAUCCCGGGGCUCAACCCCGGAACUGCAUCCGAUACUGCCGUGCUAGAGGAUUGGAGAGGUAGCUGGAAUUCUUGGUGUAGCAGUGAAAUGCGUGGAGAUCAAGAGGAACACUCGUGGCGAAAGCGAGCUACUGGACAAUAUCUGACGCUGAGGCUCGAAGGCCAGGGUAGCGAAAGAGAUUAGAUACCCCAGUAGUCCCUGUCUCUUAUAA